ensembl:misc_RNA Y_RNA Y RNA
GGCUGGUCUGAUGGUAGUGGGUUAUCAGAACUUAUUAACAUUAGCGUCACUAAAGUUGGUAUACAACCACCCACUGAUGAAUUUGACUGGCUUUCA